CGCACCUGGAUGCUGGGAGACAGGGAAGCGUUGGAGGGCCAGACCUAGGCUGAAUCAGCACUCCCCAGGUGCUCUAUCGCCUGGCAAGGACAGCAGCCCUGUCCCUACAGCUCUUAAACUGCUUUCUACCCAAGAUAAUCCCAAGAUUACCUUGAUCACGUCUGCAAAGAAAGGCCCCAUUCCCGAUACGGUCACAUCAGUUGUCCUGAGCGGACAUAUCCUUUUGGGGGGCCACAAUCUAACCCGUUACAGGGCAUCAACCGGUCAGCCUGAGGCCUACCUGGGAGCCUCUCCUGAACCCCAGACCCACUGCCCCCCACGUGCAAGUGGCCAGAACCCCACCCCCAGGCCCCCUGAGACCCUGGCCCCCAUCCACCCAACCCCACCUGCCUCUCUCCGGUGAGAGGCCCCUGCCGUAGAGCUGGGGCGCAACUCUCUCAGAGAAUUAUUCUCUUUGUAAACAUCUUGCCGUUCUCUGGAGUCUGGAGGUGUCUGGGGGGAGCAGGCACGUGUGUGUCCAGGUCCCCGCCCGGCCCCACCCUACCUAUGCUUCCUCCUGCCUGCCCUUGAACCUGCCUUUCCAAACAGACUUCUGGAACAGUGUUCAAUCAGAAAAACGGCUAUUUCCAGAGGAUGGGGUUUAGGACCUUUUUCGAUUUCUCCCCUGUCCUUUGUAUGGCUUUGAUUUCUUUGGGAAAGACUGGACCGCUCCUACAAAAACAAAAUGAUAACAUUUU